CCUACGGGGGGCUGCAGUGAGGAAUAUUGGUCAAUGGGCGCGAGCCUGAACCAGCCAAGUAGCGUGAAGGAUGACUGCCCUACGGGUUGUAAACUUCUUUUAUAUGGGAAUAAAGUGAGGAACGUGUUCCUUUUUGUAUGUACCAUAUGAAUAAGCAUCGGCUAACUCCGUGCCAGCAGCCGCGGUAAUACGGAGGAUGCGAGCGUUAUCCGGAUUUAUUGGGUUUAAAGGGUGCGUAGGUGGUUAAUUAAGUCAGCGGUGAAAGUUUGUGGCUCAACCAUAAAAUUGCCGUUGAUACUGGUGGACUAGAGUAUAGUUGCGGUAGGCGGAAUGCGUGGUGUAGCGGUGAAAUGCAUAGAGAUCACGCAGAACACCGAUUGCGAAGGCAGCUUACUAAACUAUAUCUGACACUGAAGCACGAAAGCGUGGGGAGCAAACAGGAUUAGAUACCCUUGUAGUC
rnacentral:rRNA from 1 species